UACGUAGGGGGCAAGCGUUGUCCGGAUUUAUUGGGCGUAAAGCGUCCGCAGGUGGCUAUGUAAGUCUGCUGUUAAAGAGUCUAGCUCAACUAGAUAAGAGCAGUGGAAACUACAUGGCUAGAGUGCGUUCGGGGCAGAGGGAAUUCCUGGUGUAGCGGUGAAAAUGCGUAGAGAUCAGGAAGAACACCGGUGGCGAAGGCGCUCUGCUAGGCCGCAACUGACACUGAGGGACGAAAGCUAGGGGAGCGAAUGGG
rnacentral:rRNA from 1 species